UGGGGAAUAUUGGACAAUGGGGGGAACCCUGAUCCAGCCAUGCCGCGUGUGUGAAGAAGGCCUUUUGGUUGUAAAGCACUUUAAGCGAGGAGGAGGCUACUCUAGUUAAUACCUGGGGAUAGUGGACGUUACUCGCAGAAUAAGCACCGGCUAACUCUGUGCCAGCAGCCGCGGUAAUACAGAGGGUGCGAGCGUUAAUCGGAUUUACUGGGCGUAAAGCGUGCGUAGGCGGCUUUUUAAGUCGGAUGUGAAAUCCCUGAGCUUAACUUAGGAAUUGCAUUCGAUACUGGGAAGCUAGAGUAUGGGAGAGGAUGGUAGAAUUCCAGGUGUAGCGGUGAAAUGCGUAGAGAUCUGGAGGAAUACCGAUGGCGAAGGCAGCCAUCUGGCCUAAUACUGACGCUGAGGUACGAAAGCAUGGGGAGCAAACAG
rnacentral:rRNA from 1 species